rnacentral:rRNA from 1 species
AUUGAACGCUGGCGGCAGGCCUAACACAUGCAAGUCGAGCGGGGUUUUCGGACCUAGCGGCGGACGGGUGAGUAAUGCGUAGGAAGCUACCCGAUAGAGGGGGAUACCAGUUGGAAACGACUGUUAAUACCGCAUAAUGUCUACGGACCAAAGUGUGGGACCUUCGGGCCACAUGCUAUCGGAUGCGCCUACGUGGGAUUAGCUAGUUGGUGGGGUAAUGGCCCACCAAGGCGACGAUCCCUAGCUGGUUUGAGAGGGUGAUCAGCCACACUGGAACUGAGACACGGUCCAGACGCCUACGGGAGGCAGCAGUGGGGAAUAUUGGACAAUGGGCGCAAGCCUGAUCCAGCCAUGCCGCGUGUGUGAAGAAGGCCUUCGGGUUGUAAAGCACUUUCAGUAGGGAGGAAGGGUGUUGUGUUAAUAGCACAGCAUUUUGACGUUACCUACAGAAGAAGCACCGGCUAACUCUGUGCCAGCCGCCGCAGUAAAAC